rnacentral:rRNA from 1 species
UACGGAGGGUGCAAGCGUUAAUCGGAAUUACUGGGCGUAAAGCGUGCGCAGGCGGUUCGGAAAGAAAGAUGUGAAAUCCCAGGGCUUAACCUUGGAACUGCAUUUUUAACUGCCGGGCUAGAGUAUGUCAGAGGGGGGUAGAAUUCCACGUGUAGCAGUGAAAUGCGUAGAGAUGUGGAGGAAUACCGAUGGCGAAGGCAGCCCCCUGGGAUAAUACUGACGCUCAUGCACGAAAGCGUGGGGAGCAAACAGG